AUGACUCGCAACGAGCCGGCUCCUUUGCCUUCUGGCUUCUCAGCGGUGAUUCUGUUCUUCCUCUCACCACCUCUUACUCAUCCACAGGGGACUUUGCUAGUUACGCACCUACCAGCCUGCGUCCUUCCCCUCUUCGACAUGACGUCCCAGACUGAGUGCGCUCGUACCUGGCCACCACCGUCCUUGUUCCAGAGUCUCCUAAGACGUGACAUGAUUUCAACAAAGGUGCCUAUAGAUAAAGAAAGAAGAAACAGCGCCAGACCACAAUCUGAAACCUGAAAUCUAAAGAGGAAAACGCCCUUUAAACCUUUAAAUGUAAAGGGUAGAUCACUAGCAGUGGAACCCGUCUACAGGGCAACAACCUAAGUAUAUUUUAGCGCCUUAAGACGGCACACGUGUAUUAUCUCACAGGUUUUUGGGGCCUAGAAUUCAGUGAGCGCAACUGAAUAUUUUGGUCCUGGGCCUCUCACAAGACUGCGGUCGGCUUAAUUAAGCCUCAACUAGGAGACUAUUUCCAAGUUGACUCCAGUAGCGUUGGCAGGGCUCGUUUCUCACGCCGAUUUUGAGCUGAGGGUCUCAGUUCCUCGAAACCUGCUUGCUGCAGGCGUCCCUGGAGCGCUUGUCCCCUGGGCCCGUCCACAUGACAGCCGGCUUCCUCAGAGCAAGCAAGAGAAAGGACAAGUUGGAAGGCGGAAGUCGUGGGGAACAGCAUCUCACCAUUUCUGCCAUAUUCAGCUCCUGAGAAUCAAGUCACCAGCUGCAGUUCACACACAAAGGAGUGAGAUCACACAAGCGCAUCAAUACCACGCUCCUCCACCUGUCUCUUGGCCUCCCGAAGACGUCGGAGACCACGAUUCUCCCACUUGGGCUCCUGCAAGGUGCUCCAAUAAGAAGGCAGUGGAGGGAUGGGAACGGUGUCUUGGAGGGAUGAGAGGUGGUUGAGCCAAAGCAAACCCUUCCGGGGGCAAAUACACUGGGAGAGCGACGAGCUGGGGAACAGACAUCAAAUUUGGCCCCGAUUUCGUUAGUGGAACUUGCUCUAGGCAAUUAAUUGAUUCAUUCAAGUAUUCAUAUCACCCAUAUAAGGCACAGGGAUUGUUAUUAUUUUAUAAAUAUGUGUUAUUAUUAUAUUAUAUAAAAUUAUUAUAUAUUAUUAUAGUUUUUAUUACUAUUCCCAAGAUAAUAUUCCUACCACCCUAAGGAAAUAUGCUAAACCUUUCUACAUUUUAUGCUCUAAUGUGGCCACUUAAAUUUUCCAUAUCCUUAUCCAUGUUUUGUCCAAAUGUAUACAUUUCCUUUUGUAUCAUAGUGAGCAUGUAAUUUUAUGUUCUCCUUUCUUUCAUUUAAAAUUAUAUCAUACUAUAGAAACUUCUAUGAGAGACGGCUUAUAGAUUUGAAUCUAAGGGAAAUUGCCUUUACCAAACUAAACAAAAAUAAGCAGAAAAAAUCCAAAAAGGUUAAAAAUAGCAAAGAUGUGAUGACACGGAAACAUCGACUAGAACAAGGCCGUGCCACAAACUGAAAGGUAUCAUCUGCAAAAGAAAAAUUUGGACCGAAUUGAACUAAGACACCUAGAAUUUAUAAUGAUGAAGGAUCCAGUGAUGAGCUGUAGCUGCUGUUUACAUAUAGGCACCCUGUACAUGGCAGGUAGCCAGCAAAUUAAAACAUUUCUAAAACCAAAAAAUAUGCUUAUAGUGUAUUUUAUUUCUAUCAUAUUCUCUCAAUCUAGAAGACAAUCCAACAGGUUAAAAAAUAAGCAAGUAAAUAAAGGAAUAAAUAAUAUAGUCA
rnacentral:lncRNA from 12 species